rnacentral:rRNA from 1 species
UACACUCCUGCGGGAGGCAGCAGUGGGGAAUAUUGGACAAUGGGCGCAAGCCUGAUCCAGCCAUGCCGCGUGAGUGAUGAAGGCCCUAGGGUUGUAAAGCUCUUUCACCGGUGAAGAUAAUGACGGUAACCGGAGAAGAAGCCCCGGCUAACUUCGUGCCAGCAGCCGCGGUAAUACGAAGGGGGCUAGCGUUGUUCGGAUUUACUGGGCGUAAAGCGCACGUAGGCGGACUAUUAAGUCAGGGGUGAAAUCCCGGGGCUCAACCCCGGAACUGCCUUUGAUACUGGUAGUCUUGAGUUCGAGAGAGGUGAGUGGAAUUCCGAGUGUAGAGGUGAAAUUCGUAGAUAUUCGGAGGAACACCAGUGGCGAAGGCGGCUCACUGGCUCGAUACUGACGCUGAGGUGCGAAAGCGUGGGGAGCAAACAGGAUUAGAAACCCCAGUAGUCC